rnacentral:rRNA from 1 species
UACGUAGGAGGCGAGCGUUGUCCGGAGUUACUGGGCGUAAAGGGUGCGCAGGCGGUGGCCCGCGUGGGCGGUGAAAGCUCCUGGCUCAACUGGGAGAGGGCCGUCCAGACGGGGUCACUUGAGGGGCGGAGGAGGGGCGUGGAAUUCCGGGUGGGAGCGGUGAAAUGCGUAGAGAUCCGGAGGAACACCGACGGCGAAGGCAGCGCCCUGGCCCGCCAUCUGACGCUCA